UACGUAGGGUGCGAGCGUUGUCCGGAAUUACUGGGCGUAAAGAGCUCGUAGGCGGUUUGUCGCGUCUGCUGUGAAAACUCGGGGCUUAACCCCGGGUCUGCAUUCGAUACGGGCAGGCUAGAGUGUGGUAGGGGAGAUCGGAAUUCCUGGUGUAGCGGUGAAAUGCGCAGAUAUCAGGAGGAACACCGGUGGCGAAGGCGGAUCUCUGGGCCAUUACUGACGCUGAGGAGCGAAAGCGUGGGGAGCGAACAGG
rnacentral:rRNA from 1 species